UGAUAUUAAACAAGCGCUGAAGUCAAAGAGUCUCCACCUACAAACAAGCAUUAUAAAAUAGGAGGUCCGUCUCUGCAGUCAGGAGGCUGAUCACAUCCACGAUGAGAGGACUCACACUGCUCUGUUUGGUGGGAUUUAUUCUCACAGCGUCGCUGCAUGAAGGAGGCGCAGCACCACCAUUGGAUAAAGCUGGCAACUGGCAUCCUCUUGAAAACCCUGCCGCUUUUCCAACUGCUCCACCUCAUAACGAGACCUUGCAUCCAAAUAAUGCUACUCAUGCUGGAAAUGCCACAGAGGUUGUUCAUCACAACAAUACAGCUGCAGCAAAACUGAUAGAAGACCCGUGAUGCUAAAAAUGUUGAAACAUGAAUCUUCACAGAGACAGACGACCGUGAUUCUGCUGGUGUUACUGUCUACUCUGAAUAAACACUAAAAUGAUGGUGUGAGAAA